rnacentral:rRNA from 1 species
GAUGAACGCUAGCGGCAGGCUUAACACAUGCAAGUCGAGGGGUAGGUUACGUUCGGUAAUUGAGACCGGCGCACGGGUGCGUAACGCGUAUACAAUCUACCCUUUUACAGAGGGAUAGCCCAGAGAAAUUUGGAUUAAUACCUCAUAGUAUUUUUGAAUCGCAUGAUUUGAUUAUUAAAGUUCCAACGGUAAAAGAUGAGUAUGCGUCCCAUUAGCUAGAUGGUAAGGUAACGGCUUACCAUGGCUACGAUGGGUAGGGGUCCUGAGAGGGAGAUCCCCCCACACUGGUACUGAGACACGGACCAGAC